GGGGCCGUAGGGUAGCUUGGACCAUCCUGGUGCCUUGGGGUGGCAUCGACUCGAAUUCAAAUUUCGACGGCCCCACCA
rnacentral:tRNA from 3 species